UGGAGGGCAAGUUUGGUCCCAGCAGCCGCGGUAAUUCCAGCUGCAAUAGUGUAUAUUAAAGUUGUAGUGGUUAAAAAGCUAGUAGUUGAACCUUGGGCCUGGCUGGCCGGUCCGCCUCACCGCGUGUAAUGGUCCGGCCGGGCCUUUCCCUCUGUGGAACCCUAUGCCCUUCACUGGGUGUAGCGGGGAAACAGGACUUUUACUUUGAAAAAAUUAGAGUGAUCCAGGCAGGCCUUUGCUGGAAUACAUUAGCAUGGAAUAAUAAAAUAGGACGUGUGGUUUUAUUUCGUUGGUUUCUAGGACCGCUGUAAUGAUUAAUAGGGACAGUCGGGGGCAUCAGUAUUCAAUUGUCAGAGGUGAAAUUCUUGGAUUUAUUGAAGACUAACUACUGCGAAAGCAUUUGCCAAGGAUGUUUUCAUUAAUCAGGAACGAAAGUUAGGGGAUGGAAGACGAUCAGAUACCGUCGUAGUCUUAACCAUAAACUAUGCCGACUAGGGAUCGGACGAUGUUAAAAAUUGACUCGUUCGGCGCCUUACGGGAAAC
rnacentral:rRNA from 1 species